UCUGCCCACUGAUUAAUAUUAAAGGGCUGCAGUAUAUUGACUGUACAAAGGUAGCAUAAUAAAUAGUCUUUUAAUUGAAGACUUGUAUGAAAGAUUUGAUGAGAUAUAAACUGUCUCUUUUUUAUAUUUAGAAUUUAAUUUUUUAGUAAAAAAGCUAAAAUUAUUUUAAAAGACGAGAAGACCCUAUAGAGUUUUAUAGUUAAUUUAUUUAUAAAUUUAUAUGUAAAAUUUAAAAUUUAAUUAAUUUAAUUAUUUUGUUGGGGUGAUAGAAAAAUAUAUUAAACUUUUUUUUAAAAAUUACAUUAAUUAAUGAGUAUAUGAUCCAUAAAUUAUGAUUAAAAGAAAAAAUUACCUUAGGGAUAACAGCGUAAUUUUUUUUUUUAGUUCUUAUAGGAAAAAGAGUUUGCGACCUCGAUGUUGGAUUAAGAUAAAAUUUAAAUGUAGAAGUUUAAAAUUUUUGAUCUGUUCGAUCAUUAAAAUCUUACA
rnacentral:rRNA from 1 species